GGGUUGUGAGGUUAAGCGACUAAGCGUACACGGUGGAUGCCCUGGCAGUCAGAGGCGAUGAAGGACGUGCUAAUCUGCGAUAAGCGUCGGUAAGGUGAUAUGAACCGUUAUAACCGGCGAUUUCCGAAUGGGGAAACCCAGUGUGAUUCGUCACACUAUCAUUAACUGAAUCCAUAGGUUAAUGAGGCGAACCGGGGGAACUGAAACAUCUAAGUACCCCGAGGAAAAGAAAUCAACCGAGAUUCCCCCAGUAGCGGCGAGCGAACGGGGAGCAGCCCAGAGCCUGAAUCAGUGUGUGUGUUAGUGGAAGCGUCUGGAAAGGCGCGCGAUACAGGGUGACAGCCC
rnacentral:rRNA from 2 species